AUCGCUUCUCGGCCUCUUGGCUCAGAUCAAAGUGAAGUUUCUGUUCUUAUCAGCUUGAUCUCUGAUACUCAGUCCACCGGACUGCUCGGGAUUGACUCCUUUUUGGGACCUGGUCAGCCGAGGGGCUCGCUCCUCGCUGGCCAAGGGUCGGCCCGGCCUAGGCACUUACCGCCGGGAACGGCCCUCUCCCC
rfam:Steinernema glaseri strain NC unplaced genomic scaffold GLAS_2336, whole genome shotgun sequence.